rnacentral:tRNA from 1 species
AAUCAGAUAGUCUUGUGGAUAAGGCUCUAGAUCGCCAAUCCAGAGGCAGUGGGUUCGAUUCCCGUUCCUGUCA